rnacentral:tRNA from 4 species
GUCCUCGUAGCUCAGCUGGAUAGAGCAUCUGCCUUCUAAGCAGAGGGUCGCAAGUUCGAAUCUUGCCGAGGACGCCA